UGAGCAAUCUGCCCUUCUCAUCGGAAUAAUCAUUGGAAACGAUGGCUAAUGCCGAAUAUGACCUCGGAUCACAUGUUCUGAGGUGGAAAGCUCCGGCGGAGAAGGAUGAGCUCGCGGCCUAUCAGCUUGUUGGUGAGGUAAUGGCUCACCAAGGCAUUGGACGGGUAGCCGGCUGAGAGGGUCGACCCGGCCACGACGUGGGACUGAGACGACCGGCACGA
rnacentral:rRNA from 1 species